UACGUAGGGGGCAAGCGUUGUCCGGAAUCAUUGGGCGUAAAGAGCGUGUAGGCGGCUCGGUAAGUCCGCUGUGAAAGUCCAGGGCUCAACCCUGGAAUGCCGGUGGAAACUGUCGAGCUAGAGUCCGGAAGAGGCGAGUGGAAUUCCUGGUGUAGCGGUGAAAUGCGCAGAUAUCAGGAGGAACACCAAUGGCGAAGGCAGCUCGCUGGGACGGUACUGACGCUGAGGUGCGAAAGCGUGGGGAGCAAACAGG
rnacentral:rRNA from 1 species